UACGUAGGGGGCAAGCGUUGUCCGGAAUCAUUGGGCGUAAAGCGCGUGUAGGCGGCUCGGUAAGUCUGCUGUGAAAGUCCAGGGCUCAACCCUGGGAUGCCGGUGGAUACUGUCGAGCUCGAGUCCGGGAGAGGAGAGUGGAAUUCCUGGUGUAGCGGUGAAAUGCGCAGAUAUCAGGAAGAACACCCGUGGCGAAAGCGGCUCUCUGGAACGGUACUGACGCUGAGACGCGAAAGCGUGGGGAGCGAACAGG
rnacentral:rRNA from 1 species